AUACGUAGGGUGCAAGCGUUAAUCGGAAUUACUGGGCGUAAAGCGUGCGCAGGCGGUUUUGUAAGACAGAGGUGAAGUUCCCGGGCUCAAACUGGGAACUGCCUUUGAGAAUGCAAGGGUAGAGUACGGCAGAGGGGGAUGGAAUUCCGCGCGUAGCAGUGCAAUGCGUAGAUAUGCGGAGGAACACCGAUGGCGAAGGCAAUCCCCUGGGCCUGUACUGACGCUCAUGCACGAAAGCGUGGGGAGCAAACAGGAUUAGAUACCCUGGUAGUCCACGCCCUAAACGAUGUCAACUGGUUGUUGGGUCCUCAUUGACUCAGUAACGAAGCUAACGCGUGAAGUUGACCGCCUGGGGAGUACGGCCGCAAGGUUGAAACUCAAAUGAAUUGACGGGG
rnacentral:rRNA from 1 species